AUGAAGAACGCAGCGAAACGCGAUAUUU
rnacentral:rRNA from 1 species